rnacentral:rRNA from 1 species
UACGAAGGGGGGCUAGCGUUGCUCGGAAUCACUGGGCGUAAAGGGUGCGUAGGCGGGUCUUUAAGUCAGGGGUGAAAUCCUGGAGCUCAACUCCAGAACUGCCUUUGAUACUGAGGAUCUUGAGUCCGGGAGAGGUGAGUGGAACUGCGAGUGUAGAGGUGAAAUUCGUAGAUAUUCGCAAGAACACCAGUGGCGAAGGCGGCUCACUGGCCCGGUACUGACGCUGAGGCACGAAAGCGUGGGGGAGCAAACAGG